rnacentral:rRNA from 1 species
GCUCAGGACGAACGCUGGCGGCGUGCCUAAUACAUGCAAGUAGAACGCUGAAGAGAGGAGCUUGCUCUUCUUGGAUGAGUUGCGAACGGGUGAGUAACGCGUAGGUAACCUGCCUUGUAGCGGGGGAUAACUAUUGGAAACGAUAGCUAAUACCGCAUAACAAUGGAUGACACAUGUCAUUUAUUUGAAAGGGGCAAUUGCUCCACUACAAGAUGGACCUGCGUUGUAUUAGCUAGUAGGUGAGGUAAUGGCUCACCUAGGCGACGAUACAUAGCCGACCUGAGAGGGUGAUCGGCCACACUGGGACUGAGACACGGCCCAGACUCCUACGGGAGGCAGCAGUAGGGAAUCUUCGGCAAUGGACGGAACUCUGACCGAGCAACGCCGCGUGAGUGAAGAAGGUUUUCGGAUCGUAAAGCUCUGUUGUAAGUCAAGAACGGGUGUGAGAGUGGAAAGUUCACACUGUGACGGUAGCUUACCAGAAAGGGACGGCUAACUACGUGCCAGCAGCCGCGGUAAUACGUAGGUCCCGAGCGUUGUCCGGAUUUAUUGGGCGUAAAGCGAGCGCAGGCGGUUUGAUAAGUCUGAAGUUAAAGGCUGUGGCUCAACCAUAGUUCGCUUUGGAAACUGUCAAACUUGAGUGCAGAAGGGGAGAGUGGAAUUCCAUGUGUAGCGGUGAAAUGCGUAGAUAUAUGGAGGAACACCGGUGGCGAAAGCGGCUCUCUGGCUUGUAACUGACGCUGAGGCUCGAAAGCGUGGGGAGCGAACAGGAUUAGAUACCCUGGUAGUCCACGCCGUAAACGAUGAGUGCUAGGUGUUGGAUCCUUUCCGGGAUUCAGUGCCGAAGCUAACGCAUUAAGCACUCCGCCUGGGGAGUACGACCGCAAGGUUGAAACUCAAAG